rnacentral:misc_RNA from 1 species
GUAUUUCGGUUGCGGUUACGCAAGUGUACAUUCGACAAGACAUGCAAAGGAUGAUGUGAGAAAAGGUCCACACCGGUGGGGCCGAGGCCCCGCCCGACGAGGACGGCGUUCACAGGUGUGGGUGUGUGGGUGAGCGGGCCGGAGUCGGGAUGGGCGUGCACGCGCGGGAGGCCCGCCGGCACAACCGCUCCCUCCCCCGGGCCACGCCCGAGUUUCAUUAAUGAUCCUUCCGCAGGUUCACCUACGGAAA